rnacentral:tRNA from 1 species
CGGGGUGUAGCUUAGUCUGGUAGAGCGCUACGUUCGGGACGUAGAGGUCGGAGGUUCGACGAUGCGAACGAAGAGAGCGGAGAAGGGGCGAUCUGCCGUGCAGAUCGAGUCCAAAGGACUGGAGCGAAGCUCCACCAAUCCUCUCACCCCGACCA